UUGGACGGUCAUAGGGGCUUGGAUCACCCGUUCCCAUUUCGAACACGGCAGUUAAGCAGGCCUCCGUACCAGUGAGUACUGCAUUGCGCGGGAAACCUGGUAAGCUGUCCCCU
rnacentral:rRNA from 1 species